rnacentral:RNase_P_RNA from 2 species
CGAGUAUGACAGACAGUCGCGCGGCGAGGCCGAAAGGCCCGCUGUGAGGAAAGUCCGGGCUCCACAGGGCAAGGAUAACGGGUAACGCCCGCCCAGAGCGAUCUGAGGAAAAGUGCAACAGAAAUAGACCGCCCGAGGUAUGCAAGUAUCUCAGGUAAGGAUGGAAAGGUGCGGUAAGAGCGCACCCGUCGGCUCGAGAGUGUCCGAUGCUGUAAACUCUAUCCGGAGCAACACCGGUAUGGGAGCAUAUAGGUUGGCCCGACCGCUCCCGGGGUGGCUGGAGUACCGCGGCAACGCGGCGCGUAGAUAGAUGACUGUCAAAUACAGAACCCGGCUUACAGUCAUGCUCGUGCA